CGGCUCGCUUCGGGAUUGGUCGGGCGCAGGCAGGUCGGGAAUUGCCUGCUUCGCCUGCUGUCCCCGCCCACGCAGAAGUUUUGGCAGCGGCGCCGCGGGGUGGGGGCGUCUCAGGCAGCGGGCUCCUGAAGUCAGGAGAACGCCCCGUGGGGGCCCUGGCACCUGUGCCCCUUGCCACCGCCGGCCUGGCAGACAGGCAGGCGCGUCCCUCUGCUUGCUCCUUGCUUGCUGGGGCCCCCGAAGCCACUGGCUGCAGCCACAAAAUGACUGGGUGGACAGUGCCGAGCGCGGAGGCCCCGGGGCUUUGUUCCCUGUGGGCAGGGUGGCUGUCGGGUCUGCACUGUGGAAAGCCAGGCUCGUAAACACGCUGAGGCCCCCACAGUUGACGACUAUUAAACUGGGACUAAGUGAAAUGUCCUGGUGCUACAGGAAGACAGACGAGGACGGCGGGAAAGAAAUGGCAGUCUUCAUGUGCUACCACAGAAGGGAUGGGAUGGGUGACCUUUUUGAGAAGAGUCCAGCAUAUCAGUGGGAAGGACAAUCUUACUACCCAGUAUUCAAACACUGAGAAGAGUACAGCUACUUAGGAAAGGAAAGCUGGCACACUCCAUCUGGCCUGUCACCAGGACAGCUGUUGAGGUUAAAAAGUUGCCUCUGGAUCCAAAUGCUUGUUUUGCUGUUGUGAGAACAAGAGCUGUGCAAGGAACAAAGGAAAGGAAACGCUGUAUUUUCAAUGCAGAUAAAGAUUUGCUUGUGAGCAACAUUAAAGAAGUAGACCUAAGUAUAACAGUGUGCAAUACUGGGGAUAUUUAACUUCAUAUAUGAAAGUGAAUAUAUGUAUGAAUCUUAGUCAUGAUAUUUAUCAAUAUUUUAGCUAUAAAGAACAAGUAGAUCUAGCUACCAGUUGAAGGUACUGGUUUCCUUCACUUUAUGCUGUACAUGCAUUCCUGGAAAACAGCGCAUAACUUGAAUUCGCAUAA